UAAUAACAGGCUCUGGAAUCGCUGCACUGCUGUGUUGAAAGCGCAGUUGAACACUUUUCCAUCUGACAGGCCAAGCAAUUGCUU